rnacentral:lncRNA from 1 species
UAUAUUUUUUAGUUAUUUACAAUUUCUAUCUCUUAUGGAUCUAGUGGUGUAGACGAUCGGUGUUGUCGACCGUAUCCACUAAGAACUAUUGAUUAUAGUUCUCAUACCCUCUUAUUUAAUAUUUUAUUUCAGAACGCUUAGCAUCAGCGACUGAUCGAGAUAAGAGGAUCAUAGAUAGUUUGUAUCUUCUACCCUUUUUGCUAUGUGUAGUUGAACCAUCUAUCAGUAUAUAUAGCAAUAUGUACAGUAUUUUCAGAUUUGCAGUUGCUACAGAUAUUGUAUUAUUUUGAGGAUUGGUGUGGUGAUUAUUGUAUAUCUAUAUUGUUGCUGUAGUAUCUAUUUUAAUCUAUUCUGAUACCAGCUUUUGUUGUAUUUUAGUAAUCUUUUUGGACCGAUUUUGUUAACGUUUCGUAUGUAUAAAAUGUAUCUUUGUACGUGCGGGAAUCUAUUGACGUAAUCUGGAGGAUUGCAUAUAUAACAUUAGGGUUUUGUA